rnacentral:rRNA from 1 species
AGAAAGCUUGCUUUCUUGCUGACGAGUGGCGGACGGGUGAGUAAUGCUUGGGAAUCUGGCUUAUGGAGGGGGAUAACGACGGGAAACUGUCGCUAAUACCGCGUAGUGUCGAGAGACGAAAGUGCGGGACUGAGAGGCCGCAUGCCAUAGGAUGAGCCCAAGUGGGAUUAGGUAGUUGGUGGGGUAAAGGCCUACCAAGCCUGCGAUCUCUAGCUGGUCUGAGAGGAUGACCAGCCACACUGGAACUGAGACACGGUCCAGACUCCUACGGGAGGCAGCAGUGGGGAAUAUUGCGCAAUGGGGGGAACCCUGACGCAGCCAUGCCGCGUGAAUGAAGAAGGCCUUCGGGUUGUAAAGUUCUUUCGGUAUUGAGGAAGGUUGAUGUGUUAAUAGCACAUCAAAUUGACGUUAAAUACAGAAGAAGCACCGGCUAACUCCGUGCCAGCAGCCGCGGUAAUACGGAGGGUGCGAGCGUUAAUCGGAAUAACUGGGCGUAAAGGGCACGCAGGCGGUUAUUUAAGUGAGGUGUGAAAGCCCCGGGCUUAACCUGGGAAUUGCAUUUCAGACUGGGUAACUAGAGUACUUUAGGGAGGGGUAGAAUUCCACGCGUAGCGGUGAAAUGCGUAGAGAUGUGGAGGAAUACCGAAGGCGAAGGCAGCCCCUUGGGAAUGUACUGACGCUCAUGUGCGAAAGCGUGGGGAGCAAACAGGAUUAGAUANCCUGGUAGUCCACGCUGUAAACGCUGUCGAUUUGGGGGUUGGGGUUUAACUCUGGCG